rnacentral:rRNA from 1 species
GACGAACGCUGGCGGCGUGCUUAACACAUGCAAGUCGAACGAGUGGGAACGGGUGAGUAACGCGUGGGUAACCUCCCAUCAGAGGGGAUAACACUUGGAAACAGGUGCUAAACCGAUACUGAUGGAUGGACCCGCGGUGAAUUAGCUAGUUGGUGGGGUAACGGCUCACCAAGGCCACGAUGCAUAGCCGACCUGAGAGGGUGACCGGCCACACGGGGACUGAGACACGGCCCAGACUCCUACGGGAGGCAGCAGUAGGGAAUCUUCGGCAAUGGACGAAAGUCUGACCGAGCAACGCCCCGUGAGUGAAGAAGGUUUUCGGAUCGUAAAACUCUGUUGUUAGAGAAGCGGUAUCUAACCAGAAAGCCACGGCUAACUACGUGCCAGCAGCCGCGGUAAUUC